AUUGAACGCUGGCGGCAGGCCUAACACAUGCAAGUCGAACGGUAACAGGAAGCAGCUUGCUGCUUCGCUGACGAGUGGCGGACGGGUGAGUAAUGUCUGGGAAACUGCCUGAUGGAGAGGGAUAACUACUGGAAACGGUAGCUAAUACCGCAUAAUGUCACAAGACCAAAGAGGGGGACCUUCGGGCCUCUUGCCAUCGGAUGUGCCCAGAUGGGAUUAGCUUGUUGGUGGGGUAACGGCUCACCAAGGCGACGAUCCCUAGCUGGUCUGAGGGGAUGACCAGCCACACUGGAACUGAGACACGGUCCAGACUCCUACGGGAGGCAGCAGUGGGGAAUAUUGCACAAUGGGCGCAAGCCCGAUGCAGCCAUGCCGCGUGUAUGAAGAAGGCCUUCGGGUUGUAAAGUACUUUCAGCGGGGAGGAAGGGAGUAAAGUUAAUACCUUUGCUCAUUGACGUUACCCGCAGAAGAAGCACCGGCUAACUCCGUGCCAGCAGCCGCAGUAA
rnacentral:rRNA from 1 species